rnacentral:rRNA from 1 species
AUAUUCCUGUACUUGGUGUUACUGCGAAGGGGGGACGGAGAAGGCUAUGUUGGCCGGGCGACGGUUGUCCCGGUUUAAGCGUGUAGGCUGGUUUUCCAGGCAAAUCCGGAAAAUCAAGGCUGAGGCGUGAUGACGAGGCACUACGGUGCUGAAGCAACAAAUGCCCUGCUUCCAGGAAAAGCCUCUAAGCAUCAGGUAACAUCAAAUCGUACCCCAAACCGACACAGGUGGUCAGGUAGAGAAUACCAAGGCGCUUGAGAGAACUCGGGUGAAGGAACUAGGCAAAAUGGUGCCGUAACUUCGGGAGAAGGCACGCUGAUAUGUAGGUGAAGCGACUUGCUC